rnacentral:lncRNA from 1 species
CGAAAAAGAACAACCGGAGAAGAAGAAAAUGACAGAAGAGUCGCCACCGUGCGUUAUUUAUCCCAAAGGAGGGAAAGGAAACGCUCGAAGUAAACCUGGAAAAAGGGAAAGGAAAAGACAAGGUCUCACAACCAAAUCUUGGGUUCGGGAGCCAAUUAUGCGAAGGGAAGGUUCUAGCACCCCUACGCAUCCGUAGUACUCUACGGGAUCCACUCUUG